GCAAGUCGAGCGGAAACGAAGAUAGCUUGCUCUCAGGCGUCGAGCGGCGGACGGGUGAGUAACGCGUAGGAACCUACCUAGUAGCGGGGGAUAGCCCGGAGAAAUCCGGAUUAAUACCGCAUACGCCCCACGGGGGAAAGCAGAGGAUCUUCGGACUUUGCGCUAUUAGAUGGGCCUGCGUGAGAUUAGCUAGUUGGUAAGGUAAUGGCUUACCAAGGCGACGAUCUCUAGCUGGUCUGAGAGGAUGAUC
rnacentral:rRNA from 1 species